rnacentral:hammerhead_ribozyme from 1 species
AUCCCUCUGACGAAUCCCGGAUAGGACGAAACGCGCGUCCUAGAU